AUGAACGCUGGCGGCGUGCCUAAUACAUGCAAGUCGCGCGAACAGACGAGGAGCUUGCUCCUCUGACGUUAGCGGCGGACGGGUGAGUAACACGUGGAUAACCUACCUAUAAGACUGGGAUAACUUCGGGAAACCGGAGCUAAUACCGGAUAAUAUAUUGAACCGCAUGGUUCAAUAGUGAAAGACGGUUUUGCUGUCACUUAUAGAUGGAUCCGCGCCGCAUUAGCUAGUUGGUAAGGUAACGGCUUACCAAGGCAACGAUGCGUAGCCGACCUGAGAGGGUGAUCGGCCACACUGGAACUGAGACACGGUCCAGACUCCUACGGGAGGCAGCAGUAGGGAAUCUUCCGCAAUGGGCGAAAGCCUGACGGUGCAACGCCGCGUGAGUGAUGAAGGUCUUCGGAUCGUAAAACUCUGUUAUUAGGGAAGAACAAAUGUGUAAGUAACUAUGCACGUCUUGACGGUACCUAAUCAGAAAGCCACGGCUAACUACGUG
rnacentral:rRNA from 1 species